rnacentral:lncRNA from 1 species
UACAUUCUUGAUUUCUUGAUUCUUGUUUCUCGAUUUUUGUUUUCUUGUUUUCCAUUCGAUGUAUGUGUUUGGUUGAGCUAUUUGUGAUGAUUGCUGAGUCGUAGGUGUUGUUGUGUUUUGGUGCCGAGUUGUGGGUUUGCGUAUGUGAACAUGUAGGGAGAUCUUACUUGACCGAGGUUAUUAGAGCUUUGAUAAUGGUUCAAAAACCGUUAUUUUGAUACUUAAAUUUGAUGUAAG